CACGUAGGGUGCGAGCGUUGUCCGGAAUUAUUGGGCGUAAAGAGCUCGUAGGCGGUGUGUCGCGUCGGCCGUGAAAACCUGCAGCUUAACUGUGGGCUUGCGGUCGAUACGGGCAUCACUGGAGUUCGGCAGGGGAGACUGGAAUUCCUGGUGUAGCGGUGAAAUGCGCAGAUAUCAGGAGGAACACCGGUGGCGAAGGCGGGUCUCUGGGCCGAUACUGACGCUGGAGGAGCGGAAAAGCCGUGGGGGAGCGAACAGG
rnacentral:rRNA from 1 species